GAAGUUUGAAAUAAAAAUAGAAAGAGGUGGAAAAAAAGGGAAACACGUGACUUUUCAAAUUUGAUUCGUAUCAAGUCUGCAAUUUGAUCCUAAUCAAGUUCAUCAGAUUUGAAACCCACCAAAAGUAAUUUAAAUCACGGGCUAAGUGUAAAUAUUUUGAUUCAAAUCAAAAUCAAACGUCUCAAGACCUAGGAAAUUAAUUCGGAUC
rnacentral:lncRNA from 1 species